rnacentral:lncRNA from 1 species
GAAAAGAGGGCCAGGCACUUCCAGAGAUGAGUAGCUCAUCUUUGAAAUCUCUGCUUCUCUCCUCCGUUCAGGCAAAGGGGCUCUGAAGAGUCUGCAGGCUUUAGGUUGAUCUUCAGUCUCGAUGUCCUGGUUUUUCUCUGAGAACACCAGGAUGUGUAAGAUGAUCCAGACAGAAGCUGGAUACGGUCCCAGAAGAGAGAGCCUAGUGCCAGGUCUGUGCAUCUCAGCAAACUAAAGACUCUUGUCCUCAUCCCCUUGCCUACAGGGAUCUGCGCUCUACAUAUCUCAAAGCAUUUUGAGGCCACCUAGGAAAGGCUAUGUGGGAAGCAAGUGAGUUUCCUGGAGACAGUCCACCAUUUUACGUGGAUGUGACAGGUAAAGUCUGGAGAGGCCCAGCCCCAGAAACGUUGUCCCAGGAUGGCUUCUUACUUCUGAUAAACCUUUCUUCCUGGGCAUCAGCCCACCCUAUUGAGCAAAUUCGACCCUGCAGAUCAGCCUGAAGAUGAACUUUCAUGAAUGAAUGCUGCUUAGAUGAAUGGAUUACUUCCUGAUUUGAGUCUAAUGAUUUUAGGAAGAAUGUUUAAGGGGAUAGUUUUAGUUCUUUUGCCAGAAGAUGUAAUAAAGGUAGAAUCA